rnacentral:rRNA from 1 species
GACGAACGCUGGCGGCGUGCUUAACACAUGCAAGUCGAACGAUGAAGCCUAGCUUGCUGGGUGGAAGAGUGGCGAACGGGUGAGUAACACGUGAGUAACCUGCCCCUGACUCUGGGAUAAGCGCUAGAAAUGGCGUCUAAUACUGGAUAUGACCUAUCACCGCAUGGUGUGUGGGUGGAAAGAUUUAUCGGUUGGGGAUGGACUCGCGGCCUAUCAGCUUGUUGGUGAGGUAAUGGCUCACCAAGGCGACGACGGGUAGCCGGCCUGAGAGGGUGACCGGCCGCACUGGGACUGAGACACGGCCCAGACUCCUACGGGAGGCAGCAGUGGGGAAUAUUGCACAAUGGGCGCAAGCCUGAUGCAGCAACGCCGCGUGAGGGAUGACGGCCUUCGGGUUGUAAACCUCUUUUAGUAGGGAAGAAGCGAAAGUGACGGUACCUGCAGAAAAAGCACCGGCUAACUACGUGCCAGCCGCCGCCGUAA